UACGUAGGGGGCAAGCGUUGUCCGGAUUUAUUGGGCGUAAAGAGCUCGUAGGUGGUUCGGUAAGUCGGAUGUGAAAUCUCCAGGCUCAACCUGGAGGGGUCAUUCGAUACUGCCGUGACUAGAGGUCGGUAGGGGAGUGUGGAAUUCCACGUGUAGCAGUGAAAUGCGUAGAGAUGUGGAGGAACACCGAUGGCGAAGGCAGCCUCCUGGGCCAGCACUGACGCUCAUGCACGAAAGCGUGGGGAGCAAACAGG
rnacentral:rRNA from 1 species